GGGAAAAAAAAUAGCCCGUCUUUUUUAAUUAUGUUCUUUCUUUUUUUUCGGCAUCGAUAACACGAACCGCCACUUGGCGGUAGAAUUUGCCAUAAAAUUUCAUUCAGUCUAACUAGAGGGAUCUGUGGCGUUGGUUUCAACGGGAGCUAUAGGGUCCCGUAGAAACCAGGUUCAGACCGCAUGGGAGUGAUGGGUAAGUUUAUGGAUUUGCCUAAAUUUCGUCCUUCAAGCUUCAAACGGCUACCUGACUUUGUAAACUCGUCGUUUUCAACAAAGUUCUGUGUAAUAAAUAAUUAAAUAAGCAUCAUUAAAAUUGUAUGACGCCAGGAUUCUAACACAGGACCUCCUGCACAGAAGCCCUGAUAUCGAAGCCAUUACGCCACGAACGCAUGCAUCGACGAGCGGCAUAGAACGACCGUAUGAAUUUUUCGCGGGUCGAAGCCGCUGAGGCGCUUAGCGCGUUUCGAUUUGGCCGCGUCGACAGGCUGGAGCGGUGCAUUUAGUAGCGAUUGUGCGUGUUCGCAGAGUCUCCUGCACUUGGAAAAGUACAGGUUGCACUGAAAUUUAGGACAAAGCCACAAGAACGUCUGAAUCCGCAAGCACGAAAAUAAGGCAAAUCCAUGUACGUAUACCAAUCAGUCCCACAGUGACCGAACGAUUGCAGCGCCAGAGCUCCCUGUAGUAAUUAUUGUAAGGCACUCUGUGGAAUUUGCUCACUUGCAGAAUUGCAAAGUCAAGACAGUUACUGAGCAGUGCACAGUGACGCUCAAGCGAACACCCAUUUGGGCAAUGGUUCGGUAAAAACUCAGUUACGGCGCAGUUACGCUAUUGACCCUUUUUCGAGGCGAUCCCAUGGGCGCUGCCAUGAUUGAUCACGUGCUGAUGCGUCUCUUGCUAUAGCCUUAGCUGCCUCCGUUGCCUUAUAGUGCCUGGAAUAUUCCAGGCACUAUAGUUGCCUCUGUGUUUACAAUGAAUGUACGUACAUGACGCCCGGCGCCACUCAGGAAACCUCUGUUUUGGGGUAUAUCGUAGACACUGACUUGGUGGACAGCACGAAACUUUGGCCACAGCUUCAUAGGACAUGUAAAAGCGCUUUCGGAGCUCAUUAAGCUUUGCCCAAACGGCGCGAGCAGCGUAAAUGGGGCUUGUUCUAAAAGCGAGGCUAAAAUGUAUUUCAAGCUAUCCAAACUUUCUGCUUAUGAAUGGAAUCAGGAUCAGUGUGUUUUGCUCUUCAUUCUUUAUUUGGCAACUACUUUGAAUCAGCGGCGUAUCACGUUUCUGACUCAGUGAAGUUCGUCGAUGCGGUCACUAUUUGAUUAUUUUCUGCCUAAUCGUUCACAGGUGUGCUCAGUUUCAAUAGAUUUGUUCUUGCUGCACACAAGGUGGGAACGUAGUUGUUCUGUACUUUGUAAUAGCUUGUAGCAAAGAUGUAUUAUCGCAUGUAACUCGCUUACUCCUGUGGACCGUCACGAAACAUUCAGUUUCGACCAUCCCUGUGCUGUCGGUGUAGUCCCUGUCACCCAUGCUUUGGCGCAUUGGUUCGAGUGUGCGCCCAUUCACAUAUAUUUAAUACGUUGAAGAUAAAGUGUCCGUAAGUUCCGUGCGAGAUAGGGUAGAUGUGCUUAGAUAAACUGUGCUAAAUUUAAUAUGCCAGGAAGCGGCGCUACUCCCGUUUUCAUUAUUUAACGAGCGGUACUCACUCUUGCCGACGUUCCGGCGUUGAAGUCUUUAGAGGUUAGCGGCACAACGCUGGCAGAUUAGUGAAAUUUUUAGAUCCACGAAGAAAGUCAUGCAUCAAGAAGGGCCGGCAACACAGGCUGUCCGUAGGUAGCAGCGGUCCGUGAACGUGGUCACACAUAUUCAUUCCGUUCCUUAAAAUGCCAGUCACUAUUUUUCCAGCCAACUACUCCACACGUCUUCAAUCUCCCGCUCCACAUGUUCAGCAGGAAUGGAGCACAUUGCAUGAGCAAAAACCCAGUUGCAUUUGCGACAGCUGAUAGCACAGAAACUGGGCAGAAGCGGUAAUGCUUUCGUAUUCGUGCGCUUUCGCUGAAGCAACGUGCGGCGCACCGCCGAAAGCGCCACCUCGUUUCUUGAGAACAAACUGACUGUUCCGCGAAAAGGGUCAAUACGCCGGGGCAAUGUGGACGCUCUAAAGCUUAGUCUAGCGUCAGCGCGCAGCCAGCGUACCUGGCGGCCACGGUUGUGCUUUGGCUCAGUCAUCGCUGGAAUAGAUGACAGGGCACAAAUAGAACGCGUCCCAUCUCACGCCGGAGACGCUAGACCAGAGUGCAUUGCGCGCUAUCUUGGCGGGCCGGCAUCAUGCUGCAGCCUUCAGUUCGAAUGUACUGAAGAGAUUCCACUGAGUUAGCGCCUUUGCAGCCUUCGCCAAACGAAAAAGCGCUCACUCACCGCGCACUUGUGCCCAUGCACUGAUCACCGGGUUGCUGCGUACAACGUUCAACAUCCCGAUCUCUACAGGGAACACAUUUUCGGUGAUCGUAGCAUCGUAGGCGUGUCGUAUCCCACUUUGCUGGCAGCUGCAUGGCGAUUCCAUUGACUGAUAGCUGCGGAGUUUGUGCGUUGAGUGCGUGCUAUUUAAUUACGUAUUUAUUUAUUUACUUCUUGCACGAUAGUGUCAUCUGGUAAGGCGUAAAUUUGCAUGGAAGUAAGUUUGUUUAUUGGCAUAGCAAUUUGCGUAACUUCGUUAGUUCGGUGGAAUCGAGUUUAUUUUUUCUCUUUCUUUUGUUUUCUCUAAGUUUUGCAGCGAAGAUCAUUCGUAACCGAAGACGGGCUAUUU